UACGAAGGGGGCUAGCGUUGCUCGGAAUUACUGGGCGUAAAGGGCGCGUAGGCGGAUAUCUAAGUUGGGGGUGAAAGCCCGGGGACUCAACCUCGGAAUUGCCUUCAAUACUGGAUAUCUUGAGUACGGGAGAGGUGAGUGGAACUCCGAGUGUAGAGGUGAAAUUCGUAGAUAUUACGGAAGAACACCAGUGGCGAAGGGCGAACUCACUGGCCCGUUA
rnacentral:rRNA from 1 species